GGGGAAUAUUGCACAAUGGGCGCAAGCCUGAUGCAGCGACGCCGCGUGGGGGAUGACGGCCUUCGGGUUGUAAACUCCUUUCGCUAGGGACGAAGCUUUGUGUGACGGUACCUAGAUAAGAAGCACCGGCUAACUACGUGCCAGCAGCCGCGGUAAUACGUAGGGUGCGAGCGUUGUCCGGAAUUACUGGGCGUAAAGGGCUCGUAGGUGGUUUGUCGCGUCGUCUGUGAAAUUCCGGGGCUUAACUCCGGGCGUGCAGGCGAUACGGGCAUAACUUGAGUACUGUAGGGGUAACUGGAAUUCCUGGUGUAGCGGUGAAAUGCGCAGAUAUCAGGAGGAACACCGAUGGCGAAGGCAGGUUACUGGGCAGUUACUGACGCUGAGGAGCGAAAGCAUGGGUAGCGAACAGGAUUAGAUACCCUGGUAGUCCAUGCCGUAAACGGUGGGCGCUAGGUGUGAGGGUCUUUUCACGACUUUCGUGCCGUAGCUAACGCAUUAAGCGCCCCGCCUGGGGAGUACGGCCGCAAGGCUA
rnacentral:rRNA from 1 species